rnacentral:rRNA from 1 species
CUGCACUUACAAGCUGUGGAAGCACAUUUCUUGUGUGACCGCGUACUUUUUGUAGAACGGGCCAACGAGUUACGUUAAGUAGCAAGGUUAAGCACUUAAGGUGCGGAGCCGUAGCGAAAGCGAGUUUUAACUGAGCGUUCAGUUACUUGACGUAGACCCGAAACCGGGCGACCUACCCAUGAGCAGGAUGAAGCGAAAGUAAAAUUUCGUGGAGGUCCGAACCCACGAGCGUUGAAAAGCUCGGGGAUGACUUGUGGGUAGCGGUGAAAUUCCAAUCGAGCCCGGAGAUAGCUGGUUCUCCCCGAAAUAGCUUUAGGGCUAGCCUCAAGGUGAGAGAUACGGAGGUAGAGCACUGAAUGUCCUAGGGGGUAUUGCACCUACCGAAGACUAUCAAACUCCGAAUGCCGUCAUCUUAUACUUGGGAGUCAGACUGUGGGUGAUAAGAUUCAUAGUCGAAAGGGCAACAGCCCAGAUCGUCAGCUAAGGUCCCUAAAUGUAAGUUAAGUGGUAAAGGAUGUGGGAUUGCACAGACAACCAGGAUGUUGGCUUAGAAGCAGCCACUCAUUCAAAGAGUGCGUAAUAGCUCACUGGUCGAGUGAUCCUGCGCCGAAGAUUUCCGGGGCUAAAACUUACUACCGAAGCUACGGCAUCAGUAAUGAUGGGUAGGGGAGCUUCCCAUACGGGUUGAAGCAUGACCGUAAGGACAUGUGGACAGUAUGGGAGUGAGAAUGUUGGCAUGAGUAGCGAGAUGUGGGUGAGAAUCCCACAGGCCGUAAACCCAAGGUUUCCAGGGGAAGGUUCGUCCGCCCUGGGUUAGUCGGGACCUAAGCUGAGGCCGAAAGGCGUAGGUGAUGGACAACAGGUUGAUAUUCCUGUACUACCGAUAACCGUUUGAGAGAUGGGAUGACACAGUAGGAUAAGCUAAGCACACUGUUGGUUAUGUGUGCCCAAGCAUUGAGGCAGUCAAAGUAGGCAAAUCCGCUUUGAUAAUGCUGGGAUGUGAUGGGGAGCGAAAUUUAGUAGCGAAGUAGCUGAUUUCACACUGUCAAGAAAAGUCUCUAUCGAGGUUAAAGGUACCCGUACCGCAAACCGACACAGGUGGGUGAGGAGAGUAUCCUAAGGCCAGCGAGAGAACUGUUGUUAAGGAACUCGGCAAAAUGACCCCGUAACUUAGGGAUAAGGGGUGCCACCAUCAGGUGGCCGCAGAGAAUAGGCCCAAGCGACUGUUUACCAAAAACAUAGGUUUCUGCUAAGUCGCAAGACGAUGUAUAGGAGCUGACGCCUGCCCGGUGCUGGAAGGUUAAGGGGAUCUGUUAGAGCAAUCGAAGCAGUGAACUUAAGCCCCAGUAAACGGCGGCCGUAACUAUAACGGUCCUAAGGUAGCGAAAUUCCUUGUCGGGUAAGUUCCGACCCGCACGAAAGGCGUAACGAUUUGGGCACUGUCUCAACAACAGACUCGGUGAAAUUGUAAUUCCGGUGAAGAUGCCGGAUACCUGCGACAGGACGGAAAGACCCCAUGGAGCUUUACUGUAGCUUGACAUUGGGUCUUGGUACUACAUGUACAGGAUAGGUG